CACGUAGGGGCCAAGCGUUGUCCGGAUUUAUUGGGCGUAAAGAGCUCGUAGGCGGUUCAGUCAGUUGGGUGUGAAAACUCCGGGCUUAACUCGGAGAGGCCACUCAAUACUGCUGUGACUUGAGUCCGGUAGGGGAGUGGGGAAUUCCUGGUGUAGCGGUGAAAUGCGCAGAGAUCAGGAGGAACACCCGUAGCGAAGGCGGCACUCUGGGCCGAUACUGACGCUGAGGAGCGAAAGCGUGGGGAGCGAACAGG
rnacentral:rRNA from 1 species